GAACCAGCCACCCCGGGCUCUGGUUGGAAUGCAGAUUCUGAUUCAGUAUGCCUGGGGUUGGGCCAAGAGUCUCCAUUUCUAAUGAGCUCCCUGAUGAUUCUAGU
rnacentral:pre_miRNA from 1 species